GGAGUUUUUAGCCUUUUAACAUUCAAGGAUUAGAGCUCCCUCUUUGCCCACUAGCAGGGCAUUAGCUGGUGCUGAAGACAGUGGCUGCUUGGCGAGCCUGGAUCUCCAAGUGACCCCCUCAGCAACUCCUGAUGAACAGGACUGAAGCCAAUAUUAAAGCAAGUCAACCAAAGGUUCUCUGGUGUAGACAAGACAGCAAAAGGACAGACUACCUUGUGGAACCUAGCAUUGUUCUCCUUCUGCAGCACUAAGUAACAUUUGUUCUCCGUUAAGAUCUUUGCAAACCACACACAAGAAUUGCUGGUCAUCCUGCCAAUAGAUGCUGCUCACAGAACCAAAUUUCCUGUGCUGAAUUGUCACUCAUGGGCUUGAGAGUAGGAGACUGGAGACCAAGGUGGCUAGAAUCCAGUUGGGCCUGAUGUCUCCCUGUUGAAAGGGCUCCUUGUGGAAUGAAUAGCACAUGGCUCCUGUGGUGGAUCUGAUAGUGGCAUAGCACCAAGUGAUGCAGGCCUGCCAGGGGCCACAGACACAGAAGAUGCUCCCGGGGUCCCCCAUGUACUCCAGACACACUGCAGGCCACCUCUCCCAGCAGGUUGCCAGUCAUGGGCCCCAUCAUCAUGACUUCUGUCCAAGGCAAUCAGGAAAUGAUUCCUUUCCCGACUGCUUCUGUCUAGUGCCUGGGAAUCUUGAGUCAAUCCCUCAGUAAGUCAGUGACUAGGGAAAUCCCUCUCUGAGCCUCCCAGUUCAUGUUGCUUAGGGAACCUGAUAUUUUCGUGAAACCUGCCUACACAUGGGCAGCCCAACAGCAGAACAAAUGGUGGUGACCAAAGUGAACAAAGAAGUAUAGUUGUGCCAGCUUCGUAGUUGCCCAUGUGGACAAGUCAGCAGGAUCAGGACACGAGGAAGAGUAAAUGUGAGACAGUCAAUGUGACUUCUGCGAUAAACAGAUUUUUAAACCCCGAAAUUUUGCAAAAUUUUGGUGAAACCUGAACUUUCUUCGUUGCAUAUACUGGCACUAUCUGUACCAUCAUACAACUGUCUCACAUUAAAGCUAUUUUUCUUGGGCA
rnacentral:lncRNA from 10 species